CCUACGUGAGGCAGCAGUGGGGGAUAUUGCACAAUGGGGGGAACCCUGAUGCAGCGACGCCGCGUGGGUGAAGAAGCGCCUCGGCGCGUAAAGUUCUGUCAGCAGGGAAGAAAAUGACGGUACCUGAAGAAGAAGCCCCGGCUAACUACGUGCCAGCAGCCGCGGGAAUACGUAGGGGGCAAGCGUUAUACGGAUUUACUGGGUGUAACGGGGUCGCAGACGGCGAUGCAAGUCAGGAGGGAAAGCCCGGGGCCCAACCCCGGGACUGCUUUUGUAACUGGGUGGCGGGAGUGCAUGAGGGGCAGGCGGAAUUCCUGGUGUAGCGGUGAAAGGCGUAGAUAUCAGGAGGAACACCGGUGGCGAAGGCGGCCUGCUGGACUGCAACUGACGUUGAGGCCCGAAAGCGUGGGGAGCAAACAGGAUUAGAUACCCUGGUAGUC
rnacentral:rRNA from 1 species